CUAAUUGAAUCUUAAUCAAAUACUAAAUCAAAUAUUAAUUCAAAUCUUAAUUAAAAUUUAAUAAAAUUUUAGAUCAAAUUCUAAUCAAAUCCUAAUCAAAUCUUAAAUCUUAGACAAAUCAUAAAUAAGUUCUAAACCAAAUCCUAAUCAAAUUCUAAUCUUAACCAAAUCCUAAAUCAAAUCCUAAAUCAAACCCUAAACCAAAUCCUAAUCAAAUCCUACAUCUUAAAUAAAUUCUUAGUAAAUCUUAUAGCAAAAUAGAAUCUCAACAACUAAUGAUCAAAUUGUUGAUAUCAACUCAAAAUUUGCACACUUCUUAGUUUGAAACAAACACAAGAAAGAUGAAAUUGAUUAUACUUACAAAUUGAGAGAAAUACAAGAUAAUCUAAUCAAGUAUUGGACAACCUCU
rnacentral:lncRNA from 1 species